UUUAGUAUUUACUGAACAAUUUAUAUGCUAUCCUUCUGAUGAUCCCAGUUUUCUGUGGAUAAAACUGGAAUCAGAGGAUUAAAUAAAGAUUAUUAUGAACAAAUGCAAAAAAUUCUGGGGUGAUUAUAGCAUGUCUUGUCAUAAUUAAGUCCUUCUGUUCCAGGUAGAGCUGCAACUGGCAUACAAGCCAUAGCUGAGUGAAGGUCCUCCUGGCCAUGGCUCCCAUCUGCAUAUCCAACAGUGGCUGUGACUUUAUAGAGGUGAACCUUUUCCUCCCAACUUUCUUGUGCUUUUUAGAACAAAAGAAGAAUAAAUUAAAAGGCUCUGAGCCAAACUAAAUUGACAACUCCUGUUUACAAAAAUCAAAGGACAGGAAAUAGGAAGAAAGCCAACAACUGAAGCCCAGACCAGGUAAUUUUUAAGAAGAUUUUUUAAGAUGGCUCCAAAGCGUCCAGUAAUUCCUACAGCUCCUAAGGUGGUCUCUUCUUCGGUGAUAUCAUCAGUGCAACAAUCUAAAUUAACAGCUUCACCCUCUUCUUUGGCACAGCUAUUAACGGUAAAGGAGUUGCAAGACAUAAUGGGAAAUGCUAUAUCCCAAAUCAGGGGAGAAGUGAAAGAGAUUUUAGCGGAAAAUAAUAGGAUUCUGAGGCAAGAUAUAGUUUUGGCUUUAAAAGAAGUUGCCUCUGUUCUUGAAAAGUUGAAUUUUCAUGUAGAAGAGGUGGUAGAGAAAGUGGAGCUGUUGGAGGGAAAUUUGAAGGUAUGGAAAAAGAGAUGGAAAAUUUUCAAGAUGAGAUUCUUAUGCUUCAAUAUAGAUAGAUGGAAUAUGCUUUAAGAAUCAGAGGCCUGAGGGAAUCUUUGCAAGGAGAUCUGA